UAAUAGGAACUUGAAGGAGCCAG
rnacentral:piRNA from 1 species